rnacentral:rRNA from 1 species
ACGCUCGACACCUACGGGAGGCAGCAGUGGGGAAUAUUGCACAAUGGGGGAAACCCUGAUGCAGCGACGCCGCGUGGAGGAAGAAGGUCUUCGGAUUGUAAACUCCUGUUGUUAGGGGAAAAAGAGGAUGGUACCCAACAAGGAAGUGACGGCUAACUACGUGCCAGAAGCCGCGGUAAUCUGAGCGGGCUGGCAAGGC